AAACUGGUUAUCCAUAAUUAAAUUGGUAUCCAAAUUGAUCUACUUAAAAAAAUCAAACCAAAUGCUAAAAUUUAAUUUAAUUUUGUUAUUGGUUAUUCAAAUAUAAACCGUUACUCAUUAUAAAAAUUUGGUUUUGUUAUUAGUUAUCCAAAUUUUACUAUCUCUUAAAUUUUAAUUUUUGUAUGUUUUCAUAUUUUAUCAUAUUAUAAAUCAAUUUUAUAUUUUAAAUUUUUUUAAAUUUU
rnacentral:lncRNA from 1 species